rnacentral:rRNA from 1 species
GAGUUUGAUCCUGGCUCAGAUUGAACGCUGGCGGCAGGCUUAACACAUGCAAGUCGAGCGGGGAAGGGUAGCUUGCUACCUAACCUAGCGGCGGACGGGUGAGUAAUGCUUAGGAAUCUGCCUAUUAGUGGGGGACAACGUUUCGAAAGGAACGCUAAUACCGCAUACGCCCUACGGGGGAAAGCAGGGGAUCUUCGGACCUUGCGCUAAUAGAUGAGCCUAACCCAGAUUAGCUAGUUGGUGGGGUAAAGGCCUACCAAGGCGACGAUCUGUAGCGGGUCUGAGAGGAUGAUCCGCCACACUGGGACUGAGACACGGCCCAGACUCCUACGGGAGGCAGCAGUGGGGAAUAUUGGACAAUGGGGGGAACCCUGAUCCAGCCAUGCCGCGUGUGUGAAGAAGGCCUUUUGGUUGUAAAGCACUUUAAGCGGGGAGGAGGCUCUUCUAGUUAAUACCUAGGAUGAGUGGACGUUACCCGCAGAAUAAGCACCGGCUAACUCUGUGCCAGCAGCCGCGGUAAUA